GCUAGGUGUGGUGGCACACACCUGUAAUCCCAAGCUAUUUAGGAAGCUGAGGCAGGAGGAUGGAUUGAAAAUUCAAGGCCAGCCUGUGCAAUUCAGUGAGAUUCUGUCUCAA
rnacentral:sRNA from 1 species